ACAUUUGAAAAAGAAUUAUAUGGCGUAACAUGCAGGACAGUUUAUUUUGUAUUUCCUGGUUAUUAACACCGUUUUAUAAACAAACAAAAAAAUGAUAUUUGCAGGUUACAUAAGAAUUGAUGCAAAACGAUUGUGACGAUAUACCACCAAAAAAUAUGAGCAUCAAUUUAUGUCAACCAUGCGAACGACAGGAGAAACAAGAGCCCAUAUCACACUGGUGUAUACAAUGUAACGAAAUGCUGUGUGCAUUAUGUUUCGAGUACCAUAAAGUUCUCAAGAUUACAAAGGAUCAUUGCUUUUUAACGUCUAAUGAAUACGUUUCUAUUUCUCAAUUACUUGAAACUAUGCCACUUUCCUGCAAAACUCACGCGAAUAAACCUUCACUUUACUUCUGUUCAAACCAUGAAGCGCCAUGUUGCAUUAUUUGCAAAGCUAUGGAACACAAAACAUGUAGUGACGUCGAACUGAUUGAAGACUUAGUCAUAAAACCAGAAUAUGAAAAACAAUCAAACGAUGUAGUUGCUAACAUAAAUAAGACAACAGAAACACUCGAAAAAAUUCGUGCUAACCGAUCAGAAAAUCUGGAACAAAUAGAUUAUCAAUAUGAACAAUGUAAAAUUCAUGUGCAAGACAAGAAACAGCAUUUACAAAAACUACUUGUUGAUCUUGACAAUACAUUUCAAAAGUUCGAUAGUGAAUAUCAAACAAAAAGACAUGCACUUCAGAAUCAGAUAGAAAGUUUCAGCUCUAGAGUGGAAGAUAUGAAAGAAAGGCGAUGUAUGAUGCAAACGUUGCUCAAAUUAAAACUAGUGAGUCCGAACCAAUUUUUCUUAGCGGAAAAGAUCAUUAAAGGCAAAAAUGAUGAAGAUGCCUACAAUUUACGAGAGUCGGUAAACACAUUAUCGACAUUGCAGUGCAAAUAUUCAAUUUCAUUCAAACCCGAUGAACGAAAUGAAAACAUAUUGCUGAUUGAUAUGGUAUCUUUCAAAUCAAUACCUUGCAAUAUUGAAAGUCUUGAUUUCAGCAUGCAUGAUCAAGAUUCUUCAACUGUCGAAGACGAAGAAGAAAUUCAGUUACAACCUUCCUCAAGAUCUAAUCAAGAAUCGUCAUCUUUCGAACAUACCGACUCCGUCGUUUCAAAGGAUUAUGCAACAAAAACAAGAUCAGUGUGUGCUUCUAAAUGGAAAAGUGAAGCCUGUCUGUUAGGUCUAGAAAACUUUCAGUUAAAGUUAAAACCAAAUCCUAGAAUAAGCAACCAGAACAAAAUACCUUUAUUAAAAUACAAAUGGCAUUUUCAAAUUGAAAAGAAAAAUCCAAACAUUGAUGUAUGUUGUGUAAAGGUACUCCGUGAUAGCAAUAUGAUAAUUGCUGAAAGAUCGCAACCUCGACUUUUGACUUAUAAUACAUCUGGUACUCAAUUAAGUGAGUUCUUGCUUCAGCAGAAGCCAGAAGAUAUGGAAAUUAUUCCUGACAAUAGAAUUGCUGUUACAUUAAAGAAAACGGUUUUGAUUAUUGACGUCACGAAUCUCAAAUAUAUGAAAAUAGCAAAAGAGAUAACAUUGCAAAAAUCUUGCCAUGGCGUAACUUUUUUGAAUCAAAUGCUUUUAGUUAACUGUCUGAACGGUGAUCUAGUCGUGAUAACAUUAGAUGGUUCUAUUGUACAGAAGCACUCAAAUUAUCCAGGAAUUUGGUUUAUUGCAGGAAAAGAUGGAACAUUGUUAAGUGUAAAACGAAAUUCGGAACUCGUUAACUUUUUCAAUUUAUCUACUACAAAAUGGUCUUAUUCACGUUGUCCAUGGUUAUAUGGAGCAAACGGAAUUGUAACAGAUACAAACGGAAACAUUUUCAUAACAUGUGAUUAUUCGAAUAAAGUAUAUAUGUACCACAGACGACAGUCUCAAUGGAUAUAUGUUCUAGGUGCAGAGAGCAACAUUGAUUGUCCUCGUGGCAUUGCCUACGACGCCUUCACAAACGACAUUGCUAUUGUCAAUAAUGCUGGAAAAUCUGUCUAUAUCUUCAAAAUGACAUGAAUCAUAACCGAUACUGUUAUCGUGAUACGGUUUCAGUAAUAAGAUGUUAUUUGUUUUUAACUUGACCAUGCAACUUCUUUGUCUAGUUUGUCAAAACAGGAACUUCUUUAUAAAGUAACAAUAUGAAACUAAUGCCACAAAUCAUAGUAAAAAUCGGUGAGAAGUCGCAUUCUGUAAUCGAGAAUUUGAACAUGCACGUGGUCAUCUGUGACAACGCUAUUCAAAAGAGAAAAACAACGACCUGAUUUAUACAACAAAAAUAAACGAAAUGCAAUAAUUAAUAGCAGAGAGCAAUCAACGACAACCUCAUGAUAGCAGGCUGUGGUUUUGAGACAGGCACAUACAGAAAGUAAUAGGUUUAAAUAUGUUUAUGAGCGCUCGUUCUCUCCUCACUAGAGACAGUGAUAUGGUGUAACAUCACAAAAUAAGCACAAACUGUAAACGUCUUUAUAAAGGGUUUUUGACUUAUCAGAUCGAUAAUAAGCGUAAAAAAAUGACAAAAGAAAUAAAAAAGACGCAAAGUACCGAUUUAAGAGUGCUCGCAGUUACUAAAAGCGAAUUCAAAGAUUAAUGACACCAUCGGGGACUAGCAAAUCAAAAGCAGCGGUACUAACCUUGAAGCAGUAAUAUAAACUGAUAUCGAACAUGCCAACGACACGUGUACCUUUUCCAGUAUACCACUCACACCUACAACAUGAUAUUUCGAUCCACAAUUUGGUUGCGUUUGAUUUUUACUGUCUUUAAAAUUUGCUGUUUCGCUGUUCCUUCUUAGCUUGAAGAUGAAAUCAUGAUUUGAACAUUUCAUUUUCUAAUUGUUUUGCGUACAUGUAUUAUAACCCUUUUGUUUUAGCUUACUUAUUUUAUAUAAAAGAUAAGAAUGAGACACCGAUCAAAUAUCCGU